GACGAACGCUGGCGGCGUGCCUAAUACAUGCAAGUCGAGCGCAGGAAAUCGACGGAACCCUUCGGGGGGAAGUCGACGGAAUGAGCGGCGGACGGGUGAGUAACACGUAAAGAACCUACCCUCAGGUCUGGGAUAACCACGAGAAAUCGGGGCUAAUACCGGAUGGGUCAUCGGACCGCAUGGUCCGAGGAUGAAAGGCGCUCCGGCGCCGCCUGGGGAUGGCUUUGCGGUGCAUUAGCUAGUUGGUGGGGUAAUGGCCCACCAAGGCGACGAUGCAUAGCCGACCUGAGAGGGUGAUCGGCCACACUGGGACUGAGACACGGCCCAGACUCCUACGGGAGGCAGCAGUAGGGAAUCUUCCACAAUGGACGAAAGUCUGAUGGAGCAACGCCGCGUGAACGAUGAAGGCCUUCGGGUCGUAAAGUUCUGUUGUAAGGGAAGAACAAGUGCCGCAGGCAAUGGCGGCACCUUGACGGUACCUUGCGAGAAAGCCACGGCUAACUACGUGCCAGCAGCCGCCGUAAUAC
rnacentral:rRNA from 1 species